GGAAGCGUUCCCGAGAACUAGGGGCUGCUUUGAUAGAGCAGACACAGAGACACAAACCUCUCUCUUCCCA
rnacentral:tRNA from 1 species